rnacentral:rRNA from 1 species
AGAGUUUGAUCAUGGCUCAGAAUGAACGCUGGCGGCAUGCCUAACACAUGCAAGUCGAACGAAGCCUUCGGGCUUAGUGGCGCACGGGUGCGUAACGCGUGGGAAUCUGCCCUUGGGUUUGGAAUAACAGUUAGAAAUGACUGCUAAUACCAAAUGAUGUCGCAAGACCAAAGAUUUAUCGCCCAAGGAUGAGCCCGCGUAGGAUUAGCUAGUUGGUGAGGUAAAAGCUCACCAAGGCGACGAUCCUUAGCUGGUCUGAGAGGAUGAUCAGCCACACUGGGACUGAGACACGGCCCAGACUCCUACGGGAGGCAGCAGUGGGGAAUAUUGGACAAUGGGCGAAAGCCUGAUCCAGCAAUGCCGCGUGAGUGAUGAAGGCCUUAGGGUUGUAAAGCUCUUUUACCCGGGAUGAUAAUGACAGUACCGGGAGAAUAAGCUCCGGCUAACUCCGUGCCAGCAGCCGCGGUA